rnacentral:rRNA from 1 species
AACGGCUACCACAUCCAAGGAAGGCAGCAGGCGCGCAAAUUACCCAAUCCCGACACGGGGAGGUAGUGACAAUAAAUAACAAUAUAGGGCCCUUUUGGGUCUUAUAAUUGGAAUGAGUACAAUUUAAAUCCCUUAACGAGGAACAAUUGGAGGGCAAGUCUGGUGCCAGCAGCCGCGGUAAUUCCAGCUCCAAUAGCGUAUAUUAAAGUUGUUGCAGUUAAAAAGCUCGUAGUUGAACUUCAGACCUGGCUGGAUGGUCUGCCUAACGGCACGCACUGUCCGGCUGGGCCUUACCUCUUGGUGAGCCGGCAUGCCCUUCACUGGGUGUGUCGGGGAACCAGGACUUUUACCUUGAGAAAAUUAGAGUGUUCAAAGCAGGCUUAUGCUCGAAUACAUUAGCAUGGAAUAAUAAAAUAGGACGUGCGGUUCUAUUUUGUUGGUUUCUAGAGUCGCCGUAAUGAUUAAUAGGGAUAGUUGGGGGCAUUAGUAUUCAGUUGCUAGAGGUGAAAUUCUUGGAUUUACUGAAGACUAACUACUGCGAAAGCAUUUGCCAAGGAUGUUUUCAUUAAUCAAGAACGAAGGUUAGGGGAUCGAAAACGAUCAGAUACCGUUGUAGUCUUAACAGUAAACUAUGCCGACUAGGGAUCGGGCGAACUCAAAUUUAUGUGUCGCUCGGCACCUUACGAGAAAUCAAAGUUUUUGGGUUCUGGGGGGAGUAUGGUCGCAAGGCUGAAA